rnacentral:rRNA from 1 species
UACAUGUGGGGCAAGCGUUGUUCGGAAUUACUGGGCAUAAAGGGUGCGUAGGCGGCUUGAUAAGUCAGUGGUGAAAUCGUCCGGCCCAACCGGACACGUGCCAAUGAUACUGUCGAGCUUGAGUGCGUGAGGGGUGGGGGGAACGAGCAGUGUAGCGGUGAAAUGCGUAGAUAUUGCUCGGAAGGCCAAAGCCGAAGGGACCCCACUGGUACGCAACUGGCGCUGAGGCACGAAAGCGUGGGGAGCAAACAGG